rnacentral:rRNA from 1 species
AUUGAACGCUGGCGGCAGGCCUAACACAUGCAAGUCGAACGAGUGGCGGCCGGGUGAGCAAUGUCUGGGACAAUGCCUGAUGGAGGGGGAGAACUACUGGCAACGGUAGCUAAUACCGCAUACCCUCAGAUGUGCCCACAUGGGAGUAGCUAGUUGGUGGGGUAACGGCUCACCAAGGCGACGAUCCCUAGCUGGUCUGAGAGGAUGACCAGCCACACUGGAGCUGAAACACGGGCCAGUCUCCUACGGGAGGCAGCAGUGGGGAAUAUUGCACAAUGGGCGCGUGCCUGAUGCAGCCACUCCGCUUGUCUGAAGAAGGCCUUCGGGUUGGUAAGUACUUUCAGCGGGGAGGCGUUACCCGCAGAAAAAGCGCCGGCUAACUACGUGCCAGCAGCCGCGGUAAUAC